UUGACUCAAAUUGUAAUAAAUUUUCCAUACAGAUAUUUCUAACCUCAUACGACACGUUAAAGGUACGAAACCUAAUUGGUGUCGCUUAUACCGAAAAUACAUGUGCAGAAUUCUGCAUGCAGAAAAAAAUUGUACUGAUUUAGCAGUUCGGUUUCUGCACCUCAAUGCAGAUCUGCAUGGCAUGUGAAAUUUUAAUUUAUCUACGCAGAGGCGGUGCUGACAACAUUCAAAUAUUUAAUUUUUGAGCAAUGUCUGGCAGCAUAGUGAAUUGCGCUCAGCUGUUCAAUGAAUACAAACAAAAUAAACAAAAAAACCCAAAAAACACAAACGAUUUUAAAAAAAAGGAAGAAAAAUUAAUUGAUUUCGUUAGAGAAAACCGAUGGGGAAACUUUAGUAUAGUAUCCCCCGAUUUCAGGGUAAAAAUGAGUAUGGUUGGAAAGAGGACGAUCUCCAGAUUACGAAUAUAUAUAAUAGUUGACUUAGACUUAUAGUUUUCGAGAUAUUCGCAUUUAAAGUUGAAAAUUUCAUAAAUUUUAUGUGGCGAUAUUUCGAUUAUUAGUUAACUUUUAAUUUAUAUAAUGCGCUUAUUAUACACUAACACUUCACUAAAUUGUUUCCACAUACUUAUUUUAUAACAAUUGGUUUAAUAUUUGCUUUAAAUAAGCAUUUUAAUUUUUGCACAAUUUUGUUUAUAUGCACAAUAACCAUGUUGACAGAUAUCAAGUGUUGCCAUAAGCAAACAAAUAAAAAUAAAAAUAAUAAUCUUUCGCGUAUUGCUUUUUUCUGCAAUUGCGGCCUUCGGCCGCCCUUUUGGAAAAGAACUCUGGUCCACCCAAUAUCAUGGUUUUUCAAGAAACAGGAAUAAAUGUAUUAUAAAUCAUGUAAUUUUUUAUUAACUUUUAUUCGUUUGUAAAAUAUGUAGAUUUGGCAACACUUGAUAUCUGUCAACAUGGUUAUUGUGCAUAUAAACAAAAUUGUGCAAAAAUUUAAAUGUUUAUUUAAAGCAAAUAUUAAACCAAUUGAUAUAAAAUAAGUAUGUGGAAACAAUUUAGUGAAGUAUUAGUGUAUAAUAAGCGCAUUAUAUAAAUUAAAAGUUAACUAAUAAUCGAAAUAUCGCCACAUAAAAUUUGUGAAAUUUUCAACUUUAAAUGCGAAUAUCUCAAAAACUAUAAGUCUCCUGCGGCAACUAUUAUAUAUAUUCGUAAUCUGAAGAUCGUCCUCUUUCCAACCAUACCCAUUCUGAAAUCGGGGGAUACUAUACUAAAGCCGACCCAAACCGAUUUCCUGAGGGACGCAAAAUUUAAGGAGCUGUCGGAAAAAUUGAAUAUACCAGGUGAGAAGCGAAAGGUCCGUUGGGGAACAUUAUGAGACACAUUUUAUAAGGAUUUGAAAGAAAACCAUCGGGAAGCGGCGCGGAUUCGCCAAACAAAACGUGGAAGUGGAUGUUUGAUGUUUUUAAAGGAUGUUCAAAAGGACAAUUUGAAUUUCAGAACACAAGGCAAUUAUGACACAGUGGUGAUAGGGGGAGACGACUCCUUCCUGAGCGACUUCUGUGAAUCCGCCUGUAAAAGCGUAAAUUUAACAACUUCACCGCAGACACAGCACAUACACAGACUGGACGAAAGCGCAAACUUGAACAAUUGAUUGAAAGCUCUAAUAUAGACUUUCAAAGAGUAACAUCAUUAGCCGAAGAAAUAUUGGUCGGUGGCACGGAGAGAAAGCCUUGCAAAGCAGGCUGAUACGGCUAAUUUCUCAAGUGUGGAGAAGUCCGAGUUACAACUCCAAAUGACUCAAACAUUCCAUCAAAUUUUGACCAAUCGUAGACAAUAAGUUCUUUUAUGU